CUGGAGUGCAAUAGAGUUAGGGAUCUUAGAUUUCGAACUGGAUCUGCGCUCUUUCAGCUAAACAAAGCCUACAUUUAUUCGAUCCAUUCACAUAAAGUAUAGAUUUCUCAAUUACUUUCCAUUUAAUCACAUGUGGUGUUUCGUUAU